rnacentral:RNase_P_RNA from 1 species
CGAGGCGGCCGGAUGGCCGCGCGUCGUCGGGGCAACCCGAUCGGCGUGAGGAAAGUCCGAGCUCCCCAGCGCAGGGUAGUGGGUAACUCCCAUCCGCCGCGAGGCGAGGACCAGCGCCACAGUGACGAUGCCGGCGGAAGCCGGAGUGAAACGCGGCAAGCUCUACCCGGAGCAAGGCCAAAUAGGAGGGCGAUCACCCGGUUCGCCGGGAGUGGGCGCGCUGCCCAGCCCUCGGGUCGGCCGCAUGAGCCGUCGGGCAACCGGC